UUGGAGGGCAAGUCUGGUGCCAGCAGCCGCGGUAAUUCCAGCUCCAAUAGCGUAUAUUAAAGUUGUUGCAGUUAAAAAGCUUGUAGUUGAAUUUCGGGGUCAGUAGGUUGGUCGUGCCUAUGGUAUGUACUGGCUUUACUGAUUCCUCCUUCUUGAAGAACUGUAAUGUCAUUAAUUUGGUGUUGCAGGGAAACAGGACUGUUACUUUGAAAAAAUUAGAGUGUUUAAAGCAGGCUAACGCUUGAAUACAUUAGCAUGGAAUAAUGAAAUAGGACGUUCGAUCCUAUUUUGUUGGUUUCUAGGAUUGACGUAAUGAUUAAUAGGGAUAGUUGGGGGCAUUAGUAUUCAAUUGUCAGAGGUGAAAUUCUUGGAUUUAUUGAAGACUAACUACUGCGAAAGCAUUUGCCAAGGAUGUUUUCAUUAAUCAAGAACGAAAGUUAGGGGAUCGAAGACGAUCAGAUACCGUCGUAGUCUUAACCAUAAACUAUGCCGACUAGGGAUCGGAUGAUGUUAAUUUUUUAAUGACUCAUUCGGCGCCUUACGGGAAAC
rnacentral:rRNA from 1 species